rnacentral:rRNA from 1 species
CAUUCACGGAGAGUUUGAUCCUGGCUCAGGACGAACGCUGGCGGCGUGCUUAACACAUGCAAGUCGAACGAUGAAGCCUUUCGGGGUGGAUUAGUGGCGAACGGGUGAGUAACACGUGGGCAAUCUGCCCUUCACUCUGGGACAAGCCCUGGAAACGGGGUCUAAUACCGGAUAACACUCUGUCCCGCAUGGGACGGGGUUAAAAGCUCCGGCGGUGAAGGAUGAGCCCGCGGCCUAUCAGCUUGUUGGUGGGGUAAUGGCCUACCAAGGCGACGACGGGUAGCCGGCCUGAGAGGGCGACCGGCCACACUGGGACU